rnacentral:tRNA from 1 species
AAGGAGCUAGUCCAACAAAGACCUCUGAUUUCGGCUCAGAAAAUUAUGGUUAAACCCCAUAGCUCCUCU